rnacentral:rRNA from 1 species
GAUGAACGCUAGCGGCAGGCUUAACACAUGCAAGUCGAGGGGUAACAGGGUGCUUGCACCGCUGACGACCGGCGCACGGGUGCGUAACGCGUAUACAAUCUACCUUAUAGAGGGGGAUAGCCCAGAGAAAUUUGGAUUAAUACCCCAUAGUACUUAGAUUCAGCAUUGGAUUUAGGUUAAACAUUUAUGGCUAUAAGAUGAGUAUGCGUCCUAUUAGUUAGUUGGUAAGGUAACGGCUUACCAAGACCGCGAUAGGUAGGGGUCCUGAGAGGGCGAUCCCCCACACUGGUACUGAGACACGGACCAGACUCCUACGGGAGGCAGCAGUGAGGAAUAUUGGACAAUGGGCGAGAGCCUGAUCCAGCCAUGCCGCGUGCAGGAAGACGGCCCUAUGGGUUGUAAACUGCUUUUAUACGGGAAGAAACACCUCUUCGUGAAGGGGCUUGACGGUACCGUAAGAAUAAGGAUCGGCUAACUCCGUGCCAGCAGCCGCCGUAA